rnacentral:rRNA from 1 species
UACAGAGGUCCCGAGCGUUGUUCGGAUUCACUGGGCGUAAAGGGUGCGUAGGUGGUGGGGUAAGUCUCGUGUGAAAGCUCGCAGCUUAACUGCGAAAAGUCACGGGAUACUAUCCGGCUAGAGGCUUGGAGGGGGGACUGGAAUACUUGGUGUAGCAGUGAAAUGCGUAGAUAUCAAGUGGAACACCAGUGGCGAAGGCGAGUCCCUGGACAAGACCUGACACUGAGGCACGAAGGCCAGGGGAGCAAACGGG